CUGCGACUCCGCACUUUCGCACCCCUCGCUUGUCCUAAUCUAUAAAACCAUCAGGUGCGGCAUUUACUACUCACGAUUCACAAUCUCCCAAAGGCGGGAAAUCACGACGUCGUUUGCGUAAUUCGUGAGGCGGACCCCUCAUGCCAGCGUUCUGACUUUGAGUUUCCUUAACUGCCCCCGGGCGUGUUCGCCACCUCGUACACCAAAUUAAGCUUCGUUGCGCUUCUUGGAAUGGUCCAGAACUGUAGGAGACUGUUGGGAUCUCUAUCCCGAAGGGGAAGCCCCCGUCUCACUGUCCACCACGUACCAACAGCAGUCGAGCACAGCACUCUACAACCCAAUUCAGGGCGUUGCUCGCGUUGGGAACUAGAAUCAACGGUCGUAAGUCAACCCGUGAGAUUCCACUGACGGCCACUGUUUGGCCUCCUUCCACCCCUACUGCAGUUUAGUAGUACGGGGAAUACUGGACCCGAUGUGUGCACGAUGUUACCCGUCUUGUUUCCCGUCGCUUCGGCGCUCCGAUUCGGUUAGGGUGUUUAGACAAGAGUCAAGCCUAGCGUCAGACGUUGAGCUGACGCACUUCGACCUUAGCGAUCAUUAGCGCCUAGUCGUACGGCGCCACUUAUGCAAGGGCCCGGAACAUGUGUGGCGGGCAGUGUGGUGCUCUCAAACAUUGUGGGCUUCAGCCACUCCAUUGG
rnacentral:rRNA from 1 species